rnacentral:tRNA from 1 species
GGGCCCGUAGCUCAGUGGUAGAGCAACUGACUUUUAAUCAGUAGGUCGUUGGUUCGAUCCCAACCGGGCUCG